rnacentral:rRNA from 1 species
CAGCCACAUUGGGACUGAGACACGGCCCAAACUCCUACGGGAGGCAGCAGUAAGGAAUUUUUGGCAAUGGAGGAAACUCUGACCGAGCGACGCCGCGUGAACAAUGAAGUACUUCGGUAUGUAAAGUUCUUUUAUUGAAAAAGAAAAAAUAGUGGAAAAACUAUCUUGACAUUAUUCAAUGAAUAAGCCCCGGCUAAUUAUGUGCCAGCAGCCGCGGUAAUACAUARGGGGCGAGCGUUAUCCGGAAUUAUUGGGCGUAAAGGGUGCGUAGGCGGUUUGAUAAGUCUAUAGUUUAAAUGCAGUGCUUAACGCUGUAGCGCUAUAGAAACUGUCUGACUAGAGUUAGAUAGAGGCAAGCGGAAUUCCAUGUGUAGCGGUAAAAUGCGUAAAUAUAUGGAGGAACACCAGAGGCGUAGGCGGCUUGCUGGGUCUUAACUGACGCUGAGGCACGAAAGCGUGGGGAGCAAACAGGAUUAGAUACCCUGGUAGUCCACGCCGUAAACGAUGAGUACUAAGUGUCGGGUUUCGACUCGGUACUGAAGUUAACACAUUAAGUACUCCGCCUGAGUAGUACGUACGCAAGUAUGAAACUUAAAGGAAUUGACGGGACCCCGCACAAGCGGUGGAUCAUGUUGUUUAAUUCGAAGAUACACGAAAAACCUUACCAGGUCUUGACAUAAUUUUGCGACAUUAUAGAAAUAUAAUGAAGGUUAUCAGAAUUACAGGUGGUGCAUGGUUGUCGUCAGCUCGUGUCGUGAGAUGUUAGGUUAAGUCCUAAA